rnacentral:lncRNA from 1 species
UGCUUUCUCAGUCACAGAGGUUUACUGAAGAGGAGCAGUAGGUGGAGUGCACUGAACCAACCUUCACAUCCUAGCAAAUUGGGGCUUUGGAGAGGGGACACGGACUCCUGGGCAAGCAGCCCUUGUUAUACAGGGUCCCGGGCCUCCAGCUCCACCAUGCUGUUUUUUGGGCUGACCGCCACUCCUGUGUCCUGCUGGCCCGUUCUGUCGCAUGACCCACGAGGCUCGGAUUCCACAUACUCCCUGGACACGUCUGCCACCGUUCGCUGUCCACGACAACGUCUUGUCCAGACAUUUUUUCAUCUCGGGAGGACACGAAGCGGCUCACAGCACAGUGCACGGGACUCCUAAGUGCCGUCUGCUUCGUGGUGCACACGCUCACGCGCAGCCUGCGAGGGAAGUCCAUGAUCCCCUGACUGCUCACAGCGGCAGCAUCCAGGCUCCGCGGGUCCCGGAGCCCUCGGGCUCCGGAGAGAGCGCAAAGCCAGCUGGGAGGGCUCAGGCUCCCACCCCACCCCUCCCACGGGACCCUCGCUUUCCUGCUCUGAGCUGGCAGGGCCAGUGGGGCUGGGGACUUCUGCAGGGGCCACAGAAGACAGGCGGGGACGAGCCCGGGGCUGGGGGCAUACAGGUCGGCCUCCCAGGUGCAGGGGAGGCGCCCGAGGGCCGUCCACGCCCAGGCCCCCGCAGCAGGAGUGGCCGCUGGUGCGCGUGGGCAGCGCCAGCCGGAUCGGGAGGCGUCAUCUUCUUGCUCCCGGGGCUGCCGAGACGCCUGCGAGCAUGCUUUCACAGGAACGUGAACCACGGUUUCCUCUCCUGGCGUCCUGGCCUCUGGCUGUUCCCCACCACCAGAAUCCUGGAGCUCUACCCCUCCAGAGAGUCUAAAACAGUUUCCCAAGAAGUCCAAUCUUCUUUUCUGCCCGGAGUUCCAGGCCUCUGGAUUCACUGUGGCCAUCUAUCUAGGAGGUGAACCAGAGGGUAGAAGCUCGUUCGCUCGCUCUGUGUGUGUGUGUGUGUGUGUGUGUCUGUCUCUCUCUCUUGGUAGCAUUGCCUUUCAACCAAAUAGAGAAAGCAUUUCCAAAAAAAAAAAGAGAAGAAAAAACAAGAGGAGCCAGAGAGCUGCCCGUCCAGUCUCCGUAAGAGAACACAGCUGGCCAUGCCUGGAACAGUCCCCACCAGAAACCCGGCCACGCCGCCACCGCCAUCUUGACUUCUCGCUUCCAGAACCCAAGAAACAGGGGCGCACGGUGGGAGCCACCGGCCAUGACAUCUCAUGCACACCGUGUGAGCCACCGGCCGUGACGUUGUAUACAUGCUGUGCGGGCCACACGACAGUGACCUCCUGUGUGUGCCAUGGGGGCUACUCAGCCGUGACAUGCACACCAUGUGAGCCACCGGCCGUGACGUCGUGGUAGAGCCACCCGCUGACCGAGGCACACAGGUUCCCGCCACCAUUGACGAGGGAGAAGCCAAGGCAGCAUGGGGUGGCUGAAAAGACAGCAAAGCAAAGCUCUGCACUCCGGAAACUUCUCACACAGGUCUACACGAAUGUGCGAAAAGGCUUUCUUGGCCGGCUCUGGCACAGCAAAGUUAAGGAGCCGCCUGCAGUGCCAGCAGCCCAUCUAGGCAAUGGUUCACCUCCGGGCGGCUCCACUCCCGACCCAGCUCCCUGCUGGCAGUGGAAGACGGUCCAAGUGCUUGGGCCCCUGCACCCUGUGGAGACCCAGAGGAAGCUCCUGGCUCCUGGCUUCAGCCUGGCCCAGCCCCAGCCAUUGUGGUCAUCUGGGAAGUGAACCAGUGGAUGGAGCAGCUCUCUCUCUCUCCCUCUCUUUUCUCUAAUUCUGCCUUUCAAAUAAAUAGAUAAAUAAAUCUUAACA